CUGUGCAUUUUCAUACCAAUAGAAUUACACAUCAUUCUAAUUAUAGCAAUAAUAAAUUUGUACUAAUCAUACCUACAAAUUUUGUUAUGCUAUGCUUUGUGAUGUAUUAACUUCAUUGUAAGUUAUUAUUUAAAGACCAUUUUACUAAAUAUUUAAAACAAUACUUGAAUUAUUUUCUAUAUACAUUUUCAUUAUGUGCUUUAACUGUAGCUGACCAGUUGAUGAAAGAUACUGCAGAGUUUGGCAGGGAAAUAACCCAAGACAGCAAAGCGGCUCUUUUGGCGCAUUUACUAAGAGGACUAACAUGGCCACAAAUUCAUGAGAUCAUGCAGGAGCCGUACAGUAUAACAGCAGUACAAGUUCUAUAAAAGAUCCACGACCUACUGAAGCCCAGCUAAUUAACAAAAAAGUUUUUAAAAACUGUAAUUUUAUCCCACCUGGGUACUUAUAAUUUACUAAGCUGCCUACACAAGUUUUAGACUUGCAAUUAUAUUUUAAACUGUCACUUGGAAAGUAAUACAUGUACAUGCAUUAUGUUCUGAAUUUCUUUGAACAAUAAAAUUAUAUAAAAGUAUUUUAAUGAAAUUGAGCACCUAAAUUGCAUUAAAGUGAAAGAAGCUGAGAAAAAUAGUAUCCUUGUGCUCAUGGGCAGCUACAUAUAUUGUGACAAACAUGAAUUAGCUAAAAUAACUUAAAUUUUUCAUUUUGUUUCUUGUAUAUCGUUUGUACAGGGUUCGUGAAUUGUUACUGUAUAUUACUUGACUUGCUUGUAUUUUGUUACUUUGAAUACAUGUUGUGAAGGUUGCAUUAUACUUUUUAACUUUUAAAGUAGCGCCUGUUCUGUUAUGUAAGGGCCUGAUUUAUGAUAAUGGACAUAGAGGCUUUGUAAGCAUGUAUUAAACAACACUUGUUUGAUCUGAAUAAUUUGUUAAAUAAAUGUAACACAAUUUGUAAUCUGAUGUUAUAUUUUGAUGAAUUGUGAACAAAAUAAUACAUCGAAGAAACUAA